UACAGGGGGUGCAAACGUUGCUCGGAAUCAUUGGGCGUAAAGCGCACGUAGGCGGUCUGUUAUGUCGGAUGUGAAAGCCCUUGGCUCAACUGAGGAAGUGCAUCCGAAACUGGCAGGCUAGAGUACUAAAGAGGAUCGCGGAAUUCCCGGUGUAGAGGUGAAAUUCGUAGAUAUCGGGAGGAACACCGGUGGCGAAGGCGGCGAUCUGGGUAGAUACUGACGCUGAGGUGCGAAAGCGUGGGGGCAAACAGG
rnacentral:rRNA from 1 species